rnacentral:rRNA from 1 species
UAUGGUUGUGUGCCAGCAGCCGCGGUAAUACGUAGGGAGCAAGCGUUGUCCGGAUUUACUGGGUGUAAAGGGUGCGUAGGCGGCUUUGCAAGUCAGAUGUGAAAUCUAUGGGCUCAACCCAUAAACUGCAUUUGAAACUGUAGAGCUUGAGUGAAGUAGAGGCAGGCGGAAUUCCCCGUGUAGCGGUGAAAUGCGUAGAGAUGGGGAGGAACACCAGUGGCGAAGGCGGCCUGCUGGGCUUUAACUGACGCUGAGGCACGAAAGCGUGGGUAGCAAACAGG